AAGUGGGUUCAAAAAAUGGCUGCCUACCAGAUUCAGGGUCUAGGUUGCCUCUUAAACGGGUCAGAAUUGUCUUAGAAAGUGGCUGCCUACCAGGGUCUAAGUUGCCUCUUAAACGGGUCAGAACUGUCUAAGAAAGUGGUUGCCUACCUGGUGUUUGAUCAGUUACCUCCAAUUCCGCUCUUUUUAUGGCUGAUUACACUUACAUUGUGUUUCUCUACACAAUCAAUGUGAUGUGUUUUUGGUGUUAUUUUUCAUUUUCUUCCGGUCUUCUUAAACAAUCAAUGUGAUGUGUAG